GCAGUUUUGCACUUUGCUCCCCAAAACUUCUCCUUUCCUCGCAAUGCCGCCACCCUUCGCCUGCGCAACCGCCUCUCGCUUCGCCGCCCACUGGGUCGCCGACGCCCUCGCCGGCGACGAUGCCCUCGACUUCUCUGCCAUCACGGCGCUGUUAGACGCCUCGCCGGAGACCCUCACCGGCGCCCCGGAGUCCGUGACGGAGCGGGUGGCGCUCCGGUGUCUGCAGGAGCUCGCUGCCUCCGCCGCUGAGGGCCGGGCUGCGGCGGCGCCAGCGCCGACGGGGAUGCUUAGGGUUGACACGGCUCGCUCUUGCGAGGACUUGCUGCUUGAGAUCGUCGGAAAGGUCAGAUAUCCAGGAAGUUUGGAGAAGAAUAGGUUCCCAGCUUUCAGCCAAGACAUCCAAAACAUUAUAUUUUACAAGAAACCUACAUUGCCGGAAACUUGUUUUCAGUUGCUCAGAGAAGUGGACCCAGAGAUUGAACGUAUGGCUCUACCAUCCCCCCUGGAGCGGAAUGGUAACAACAAACAUGAUGAUCAGUCCUUGUGCGAUCUCACCCAUGAUCAUGUAAUUGUAGACAAGCCUAGGCAUCCUAAAGACAAUGCUAAGUUUCCACAAGAGAAUUUAGCAAAUUUACACAAUGAAGUUAACGCAGGAAAUACCCAGAGGGAUCCAAUAGAGCCAACAGCUGAUUUUUACCAACCAUGUAAAUUGGACAGUAGCUGUUUCGAACACCUAAAAGAAGAUAGUCCUACUAAUGUGGAAGGGAAUAUGUCAGUUGCAGACAUGCCUGCUUCAGCUAGCAGCAAUGGAGCUUUGCAGGAAAGCAUUACUGAGAUGUCAAAGCAGGACACAGUGGAUCACAGUACCAUGGUUCAACCACAAUCUUGUAGAGGGAAAUCUCCUGAUCCUGCUCAGUAUGACAAUGGAGAGGAACCACACGAUGAUGGUGCCAGUGAUCAGUCAUCUAGGGAUCUCAGCCAUGGAGGACCGAGCAUGCAGCCUAUAAUAGCAUCAGCUUUGGACAGAAGCGGUUAUGCUUUACCAACAAAUGCAUCUGAAACAAGCCACUUGCCUGAGUUUAUCACUGGGCAGGAUACAACCAUCAUUCCACAAGCGGACAGCGGCCAAACUUAUCUGGCUUCUUCACGACAUGACAGCGGUGAGAACGUAAAUCAAGAUCUAUAUUAUGACGGUACAAGCAUUCAGCCAGUGGAAAAUCCAGUGGAGAAUGAUUGCAUUCAUGAGGAACUGACUCUAGAAGCUGCUGGCAUUUUACCUUCUGUAAGCUGCAACGGUGUGAUUCAAGGAGAUAAAUAUGAAACCAACCAUCUGUCGGGGAAUAUUGAAGAGCAUGCUGCAUUGUUUGGACAGCCCAAUGGUGGUAACCAUCACCUGGAAAUCUGUUGUGCCGACAUAGUUAAUCAAGCUCUUUAUAGGGAUGGUGGCAUCCUUGAAGACAAUAUGGUCCAUGGUGAGCUUAGUGUGCAGAGUUCAGGGCGCACCUACAGUGUAGCCUUACGUAAUGAAAUUUCAGAGGCCAAUUAUUUAUCCGUGCAGAACAUUGAGAAGAGCACAAUUGAUGUUCACAAAUUUAAUUGCAGUAUAACUUCUCCAACUGCUCCUCAGGAUGACAGUAGAGGAAGCAUAAAGCAAAUAUCAAACGUAUACACUGUGGUGAAAACAUCAUAUGUCCAUUCCUCAGAUGAAAGUUUUAGUGGCUUUGUUGACAAGAUGUCAUUCUUUAUCAAGGAUCAAGACACCAAUGGUUCCCCCAGGGGUUGUUCAGAACAAGAGUCGUGCAUAAAGUGUGGUAAGGAUGGUCAGUUGCUGAAGUGUAGCACCUGCUUGUUAGCUGCUCACGACAGUUGUUUCGGUCCAUCAAUGCCAUUUGAAGACUCUACACAGUUCUGUUGCCCGGUGUGCUUCUACAUUAAAGCUACUGAAGCAUAUAAAAAAGCAAAGAACACAUAUUGUGAAGCUAGAAUGAACCUCACUGCUUUCCUUGGUACAGAGCAAUUGGCCAAGCAACAUGACGAGCAACCGCCUGCAGUUUUGCCAAUAGCUUGCAGCAAGGAUCAUUUGGAUGGAUACAAUGCAUUGAAAAGGAAAAAUAAUCAACAAACUAAAACGCAUACCCUUGCUCGUUCGGAUGAAAAGGCUGAUCGGCAGAGGAAGAAGCAGAAAACAAAUGCUACAAUUGAUGUGUGUCCCAAGGAGUCAAUGGCUGAAAAGGCUUCUUCUGUUCGGAAUUCAGACGUUGAACCCAUGAAUAAACAUUCUGUACUCCAGAAUAUUAGCAACCAAGUUCAGGAUACAGAAAAGGAGCAGCAAGUUGAAAAAUCAGUAGCUCGCGAAGAAGCUGGUAAUGGUGAUUUGUGUGACGGAACAACAAAUUCAUCUCAUGGCAGAUGCCGCCCUUCUGCUAUAAAUCAGGAAGUUAAUGCUGACAAAGAUGGUUUUAUAAACCCUAACCAAUCUGAAAAUUCUGAUGAAAUGGAAGCGGCAUCUUUUAAUGAGUCUGGCAAGCAAUCAUUACCCCCUUCGCAUAACAUCAGACAAAGCAAAUCAGGAUUACGAGAAAGGGAGACACCAGUAUCACGUAGUUCUGGAAAAGUGCUUGUGCGGGAUCAACACAUGCCUUCGCCAUCAAGAAAAAGAAACUAUGCAGAUCCAACCAACUAUAUUUUGCAGUUCCAAUCCUGUCACACCAACUGGAAGGCGCUUGAAGCUUUGUUGGACGGAAGAAGAAGAAGUAGCUUUGAGGGAAGCAAUGGAGAAAUUUACCCCACAGGACAACAUGCCAAUUCCAUGGGUUCAGAUACUAGAAUACGGCCGGGACGUGUUUCACCGUGCACGCCUCCCAUGUGACUUGAGGGUCAAGUGGAGAAACAUGAUGAAGAAAGCGGGUUCCUGACACUGGCAAUGAAUUGGGUAGUCCAUUGAUUUCCAACUAUGAAAAGUCCAAAGCCAAGUAAUUGGAAUUGCAGUCGAAGUUCAAUGAACUUCUAGAGGCCCACAAGCUAACAUGCAGACAGGUUGCAGGUCUGAGGAACUAACCAGAUUGGUGCUACUAGGCACGCCGCGGACGUGCGCUAGCUGCACCGCAAAAGCAAGGAAUAUGCCACACAGAGCGUAUGACGCUUCUAGUUCCAGUUCCAGCCAUCCUUGCCUGCUUGCUUCUUCUGGCCUGUUGGUCGGUCGGUGUCGCUUCCGUGAGUGCGUCUACGUGCAGCGGACGGACUGUCCAUGUGCGGUGGUGCGCACCCAACGUGCCCUUUGUGCUUGGACUGCCGCCCAAGCCUUCUUUCUUUCUUUUUACCAAGCAAGCAAAGCAUAUCUUCUCUGAAGAAAGCUCACCGUUUUACUGCUCUGUCACCGCCGGUCGGUUAGCUAUCCUCACAUCAUCAAAAAAUUACACGAAGAGGACAAGAGGUAAUAAUAAUACUAAGAAAAGAUGGUACUGUAUGUCA